AGGGUUUGAUCCUGGCUCAGGACGAACGCUGGCGGUGUGCUUAACACAUGCAAGUCAAGGAGAAUUUUAUCUUCGGAUAGAUAGUAAACUGGCGAACGGGUGAGUAACGCGUAAAUAACUUGCCUCGGAGAUUGGGACAACAUUGGGAAACCAGUGCUAAUACCAAAUAAUGCAGCGGGCCCUUCGGGGCACAGUUGUUAAAGUAGGCUUCGGCUUACACUUUGAGAUAGAUUUGCGUCCGAUUAGUUAGUUGGUAGGGUAAUAGCCUACCAAGACCGAGAUCGGUAGCUGGUCUGAGAGGAUGAUCAGCCACACUGGAAUUGAGAUACGGUCCAGACUCCUACGGGAGGCAGCAGUGAGGAAUUUUGCACAAUGGGCGAAAGCCUGAUGCAGCAACACCGCGUGAUUGAUGAAGUUUUUAGGAAUGUAAAAAUCUGUCGUAAGGGAAGAAAUGUUUCGGAUGUUAAUACCAUCUGUUACUGACGG
rnacentral:rRNA from 1 species